GAUGAACGCUGGCGGCGUGCUUAACACAUGCAAGUCGAACGGAAAGGCUCCUGCUUGCAGGGGUACUCGAGUGGCGAACGGGUGAGUAACACGUGGGUGAUCUGCCCUGCACUUCGGGAUAAGACUGGGAAACUGGGUCUAAUACCGGAUAGGACCACAUCUUGGAUGGUGUGGUGGAAAGUUUUUCGGUGUGGGAUGAGCUCGCGGCCUAUCAGCUUGUUGGUGGGGUAAUGGCCUACGACGGCGUCGACGGGUAGCCGGCCUGAGAGGGUGGACGGCCACAUUGGGACUGAGAUACGGCCCAGACUCCUACGGUAGGCAGCAGUGGGGAAUAUUGCACAAUGGGCGCAAGCCUGAGGCAGCGACGCCGCGUGGGGGAUGACGGUCUUCGGGUUGUAAACUCCUUUCGCUAGGGACGAAGCGCAAGUGACGGUACCUGGAGAAGAAGCACCGGCUAACUACGUG
rnacentral:rRNA from 1 species